UAGUCAUAUGCUUGUCUCAAAGAUUAAGCCAUGCAUGUCUAAGUACAUACUGUUUAUAAAGUGAAACCGCGAAUGGCUCAUUAAAUCAGUUACGGUUCCUCGUAGCGAAUCUACCAUCUUUUUGUGUCCAAACAAGAACUUGAAAUCCUCAAAUUGUAGCAAAUACUCGUUUUCUAUUUUUUAUUCAUUGUUUCAACCCGGAAGCGCGAAACACGAAUACAUGAGUCACUAGACUCUUUUACAAACUCGCAAGUCCCUGCGAGGAUUGGGUUCUUGUUUGGUGAAGAAUUUGGCUAAGGUUCCGGCGUGUCUAGGGGUGAACGCAAUCGCCUCUACGAGGUGUGGCUAGAAACUAGAGAACGGCAGCUCAUACGUACCAUUUGUUGGCUAACGGAGAGUGUCACUGGUUACGUGAACGGCUGACUACAGCCCCUCAACAUAUUGGUGUUUUGGUUCGCCCAUUGACUCAACCAGAGGGUAAUAGUUCUGUUUAAUUCCAGUAUAAGUCCGAAAGGGAGGAUAAGCGUGCUUAA
rnacentral:rRNA from 1 species